GAUGAACGCUGGCGGCGUGCUUAACACAUGCAAGUCGAACGAGAAGUGGAGACGGAAACCUUCGGGCGGAAGACUUUAUUUCGAGUGGCGGACGGGUGAGUAACGCGUGGGUAACCUGCCUCAUACAGGGGGAUAACAGUUGGAAACGACUGUUAAUACCGCAUAAGACCACAGCACCGCAUGGUGCGGGGGUAAAAACUCCGGUGGUAUGAGAUGGACCCGCGUUCGAUUAGCCAGUUGGCGGGGUAACGGCCCACCAAAGCGACGAUCGAUAGCCGAUCUGAGGGGAGGACCGGCCACAUUGGGACUGAGGCACGGCCCAAACUCCUACGGGAGGCAGCAGUGGGGAAUAUUGCACAAUGGGGGAAACCCUGAUGCAGCGACGCCGCGUGAGUGAAGAAGUAUUUCGGUAUGUAAAGCUCUAUCAGCAGGGAAGAAAAUGACGGUACCUGAGGAAGAAGCCCCGGCUAACUACGUG
rnacentral:rRNA from 1 species